AGUAAAGUCAGCUAAAUAAGCUCUCGGGCCCAUACCCCGAACAUGUUGGUUAAAGUCCUUCCUUUACUA
rnacentral:tRNA from 1 species